rnacentral:lncRNA from 1 species
AAGAGAGGUCAUUAGAAUUGACACAAGAAUUGCAUGAGGGAGGAGAUGGCCAAGACUACAGGAUCAUGCCAGAAUCAGAACAGAAGCUGUGUCCUGUAUCAGAAUCUGAAAAAGCCCAAGUUGCAUGAAUGAAGGAUCUGCAGGUGAUUCAUAGGCUCGGAGAAGUUGGAGAAGCUCCGGUCUAGGUACGCCUGCCGAGAUUCUCAGGAGUGCAGAAAGUGGGAAACCGUCAGCAGUACCAGCCAUCACCAGCACUGACACCCAGGAUGCCAUUAGGAAGAGGUCCAAGACUAGCAGGGCAGCCGCUGUGAGCCUGGAAACUGCUUGGGUGCCUUGAGAUGGGCUGUUACAUCCACGGUGGCUCAGGGCUUCCUCUAUGAAGCAUCGACUCUCCUGGGCUUUCAGCUGGACAUUCAGGAUUCAAAGAUGAGUGCAGAGUCACAGAGACAAACGAGACCCAGUGCUGCGGGGACACAGAGGCCGGGGCCAAGAAUUCCUCCAGGUGGCUCAUGCCUGUAAUCCCAACACUUUGGAAGGCCAAGCGG